GUUCGUUGGGUAGGGGAGCGUUCUGUAAGCCUGCGAAGGUGGCCUGUGAGGGUUGCUGGAGGUAUCAGAAGUGCGAAUGCUGACAUAAGUAACGAUAAAGCGGGUGAAAAGCCCGCUCGCCGGAAGACCAAGGGUUCCUGUCCAACGUUAAUCGGGGCAGGGUGAGUCGACCCCUAAGGCGAGGCCGAAAGGCGUAGUCGAUGGGAAACGGGUUAAUAUUCCCGUACUUGGUGUUACUGCGAAGGGGGGACGGAGAAGGCUAUGUUGGCCGGGCGACGGUUGUCCCGGUUUAAGCGUGUAGGUGUGUGUUCCAGGUAAAUCCGGUUCACUUUAACACUGAGGCGUGACGACGAGGCACUACGGUGCUGAAGCAACAAAUGCCCUGCUUCCAGGAAAAGCCUCUAAGCAUCAGGUAACAUCAAAUCGUACCCCAAACCGACACAGGUGGUCAGGUAGAGAAUACCAAGGCGCUUGAGAGAACUCGGGUGAAGGAACUAGGCAAAAUGGUGCCGUAACUUCGGGAGAAGGCACGCUGACAUGUAGGUGAAGUGAUUUACUCAUGGAGCUGAAGUCAGUCGAAGAUACCAGCUGGCUGCAACUGUUUAUUAAAAACACAGCACUGUGCAAACACGAAAGUGGACGUAUACGGUGUGACGCCUGCCCGGUGCCGGAAGGUUAAUUGAUGGGGUCAGCGCAAGCGAAGCUCCUGAUCGAAGCCCCGGUAAACGGCGGCCGUAACUAUAACGGUCCUAAGGUAGCGAAAUUCCUUGUCGGGUAAGUUCCGACCUGCACGAAUGGCGUAAUGAUGGCCAGGCUGUCUCCACCCGAGACUCAGUGAAAUUGAACUCGCUGUGAAGAUGCAGUGUACCCGCGGCAAGACGGAAAGACCCCGUGAACCUUUACUAUAGCUUGACACUGAACAUUGAGCCUUGAUGUGUAGGAUAGGUGGGAGGCUUUGAAGUGUGGACGCCAGUCUGCAUGGAGCCGACCUUGAAAUACCACCCUUUAAUGUUUGAUGUUCUAACGUGGACCCGUGAUCCGGGUUGCGGACAGUGUCUGGUGGGUAGUUUGACUGGGGCGGUCUCCUCCUAAAGAGUAACGGAGGAGCACGAAGGUUGGCUAAUCCUGGUCGGACAUCAGGAGGUUAGUGCAAUGGCAUAAGCCAGCUUGACUGCGAGCGUGACGGCGCGAGCAGGUGCGAAAGCAGGUCAUAGUGAUCCGGUGGUUCUGAAUGGAAGGGCCAUCGCUCACGGGAUAAAAGGUACUCCGGGGAUACCAGGCUGAUACCGCCCAAGAGUUCAUAUCGACGGCGGUGUUUGGCACCUCGAUGUCGGCUCAUCACAUCCUGGGGCUGAAGUAGGUCCCAAGGGUAUGGCUGUUCGCCAUUUAAAGUGGUACGCGAGCUGGGUUUAGAACGUCGUGAGACAGUUCGGUCCCUAUCUGCCGUGGGCGCUGGAGAACUGAGGGGGGCUGCUCCUAGUACGAGAGGACCGGAGUGGACGCAUCACUGGUGUUCGGGUUGUCAUGCCAAUGGCACUGCCCGGUAGCUAAAUGCGGAAGAGAUAAGUGCUGAAAGCAUCUAAGCACGAAACUUGCCCCGAGAUGAGUUCUCCCUGAGACUUAAAGUCUCCUGAAGGAACGUUGAAGACGACGACGUUGAUAGGCCGGGUGUGUAAGCGCAGCGAUGCGUUGAGCUAACCGGUACUAAUGAACCGUGAGGCUUAACCUU
rnacentral:rRNA from 1 species